UGUUUCACCUCCAUCAACAAAAUAAAAGACCCAAAACCCGCUACAACAUACCAUAUCAAACUUUCUCUAA
rnacentral:tRNA from 1 species